AUUGAACGCUGGCGGCAGGCCUAACACAUGCAAGUCGAGCGGAUGAAGGGAGCUUGCUCCUGGAUUCAGCGGCGGACGGGUGAGUAAUGCCUAGGAAUCUGCCUGGUAGUGGGGGAUAACGUCCGGAAACGGGCGCUAAUACCGCAUACGUCCUGAGGGAGAAAGUGGGGGAUCUUCGGACCUCACGCUAUCAGAUGAGCCUAGGUCGGAUUAGCUAGUUGGUGGGGUAAAGGCCUACCAAGGCGACGAUCCGUAACUGGACUGAGAGGAUGAUCAGUCACACUGGAACUGAGACACGGUCCAGACUCCUACGGGAGGCCGCAGUGGGGAAUAUUGGACAAUGGGCGAAAGCCUGAUACAGCCAUGCCGCGUGUGUGAAGAAGGUCUUCGGAUUGUAAAGCACUUUAAGUUGGGAGGAAGGGCAGUAAGUUAAUACCUUGCUGUUUUGACGUUACCAACAGAAUAAGCACCGGCUAACUUCGUG
rnacentral:rRNA from 1 species